GGGGGCAGAACCCCCGGGAAAUUCCCGCAAUUGGGGAACAAAAA
rnacentral:ncRNA from 1 species